UAUCGGAUUGAUACUAAGCCAUGCGAGUCAUUGCAGUAAUGCAAGGCAGACGGCUCAGUAACGCGUAGUCAACCUACCCUAUGGACGGGAAUAACCUCGGGAAACUGAGUAUAAUGCCCGAUAGAACACUAUUCCUGGAAUGGUUUGUGUUCCAAAUGAUUUAUCGCCGUAGGAUGGGACUGCGGCCUAUCAGUUUGUUGGUGAGGUAAUGGCCCACCAAGACUAUUACAGGUACGGGCUCUGAGAGGAGUAGCCCGGAGAUGGGUACUGAGACACGGACCCAGGCCCUAUGGGGCGCAGCAGGCGAGAAAACUUUGCAAUGUGCGAAAGCACGACAAGGUUAAUCCGAGUGGUUUGUGCUAAACGAACCUUUUGACAGUCCUAGAAACACUGUUGAAUAAGGGGUGGGCAAGUUCUGGUGUCAGCCGCCGCGGUAAAACCAGCACCUCAAGUGGUCAGGAUGAUUAUUGGGCCUAAAGCAUCCGUAGCCGGCUCUGUAAGUUUUCGGUUAAAUCUGUACGCUCAACGUACAGGCUGCCGGGAAUACUGCAGAGCUAGGGAGUGGGAGAGGUAGACGGUACUCGGUAGGAAGGGGUAAAAUCCUUUGAUCUAUUGAUGACCACCUGUGGCGAAGGCGGUCUACCAGAACACGUCCGACGGUGAGGGAUGAUAGCUGGGGGAGCAAACCGGAUUAGAUACCCGGGUAGUCCCAGCUGUAAACUAUGCAAACUCAGUGAUGCAUUGGCUUGUGGCCAAUGCAGUGCUGCAGGGAAGCCGUUAAGUUUGCCGCCUGGGAAGUACGUACGCAAGUAUGAAACUUAAAGGAAUUGGCGGGGGAGCACCACAAGGGGUGAAGCCUGCGGUUCAAUUGGAGUC
rnacentral:rRNA from 1 species